UCCGGUUUGACACCGGCAGUCCCCUUAAAGUGCUCAGCAUUACCUGUUAGUAACUAAGGGCAAAGGUUUCGCUCGUUAAGGGACUUAACCCGACAUCUCACGACACGAGCUGACGACAGCCAUGCAGCACCUGUACCAGUUGUACCCCUUGCGGGGCCUACCCGGCUUUCACCGGGAUAAUCCUGGCAUGUCAAGCCCAGGUAAGGUUCUGCGCGUUGCUUCGAAUUGAACCACAUGCUCCACCGCUUGUGUGAGCCCCCGUCAAUUCCUUUGAGUUUUAGCCUUGCGACCGUACUUCCCAGGCGGUCCACUUAGCACUUUUGCUUCGACCAUGACAACGUCAGAGCUGCCACGAUCUAGUGGACAUCGUUUACGGCCAGGACUAC
rnacentral:misc_RNA from 1 species